rnacentral:rRNA from 1 species
GUGCCAGCAGCCGCGGUAAUACGUAGGGUGCGAGCGUUAAUCGGAAUUACUGGGCGUAAAGCGUGCGCAGGCGGUUUGCUAAGACCGAUGUGAAAUCCCCGGGCUCAACCUGGGAACUGCAUUGGUGACUGGCAGGCUAGAGUAUGGCAGAGGGGGGUAGAAUUCCACGUGUAGCAGUGAAAUGCGUAGAGAUGUGGAGGAAUACCGAUGGCGAAGGCAGCCCCCUGGGCCAAUACUGACGCUCAUGCACGAAAGCGUGGGGAGCAAACAGGAUUAGAUACCCUGGUAGUCCACGCCCUAAACGAUGUCAACUAGUUGUUGGGGAUUCAUUUCCUUAGUAACGUAGCUAACGCGUGAAGUUGACCGCCUGGGGAGUACGGUCGCAAGAUUAAAACUUAAAGAAAUUGACGG